rnacentral:rRNA from 1 species
UACGAAGGGGGCUAGCGUUGUUCGGAAUUACUGGGCGUAAAGCGCGCGCAGGCGGCCUUUCAAGUCAGGGGUGAAAGCCCGGAGCUCAACUCCGGAAUUGCCUUUGAAACUGUCAGGCUCGAGUACGGGAGAGGUGAGUGGAAUUCCCAGUGUAGAGGUGAAAUUCGUAGAUAUUCGGCGGAACACCAGUGGCGAAGGCGACACACUGGCCCGAUACUGACGCUGAGGCGCGAAAGCGUGGGGAGCAAACAGG